rnacentral:rRNA from 1 species
UACAGAGGUUGCGAGCGUUGUUCGGAAUUAUUGGGCGUAAAGCGCGUGUAGGCGGGAUGGCAUGUCGAAUGUGAAAGCCCUCGGCUCAACCGAGGAAGUGCGUUCGAAACUACCGUUCUUGAGUAUCGGAGAGGGUGGCGGAAUUCCCGGUGUAGAGGUGAAAUUCGUAGAUAUCGGGAGGAACACCAGUGGCGAAGGCGGCCACCUGGACGAAUACUGACGCUGAGACGCGAAAAGCGUGGGGAUCGAACAGG